GUUAAGAUGGCAGAGUCGGAACAUGCAAAAGAUCUAAGACCUUUUUACAGAGGUUCAAAUCCUCUUCUUAACU
rnacentral:tRNA from 1 species